GGGCAACUAGCUCAGUCGGUUAGAGCGCUACGAUCACACCGUAGAGGUCAGAGGUUCGAAUCCUCUGUUGCCCACAA
rnacentral:tRNA from 1 species